rnacentral:rRNA from 1 species
UACGAAGGGGGCUAGCGUUGCUCGGAAUUACUGGGCGUAAAGGGAGCGUAGGCGGACAGUUUAGUCAGUGGUGAAAGCCCAGGGCUCAACCUUGGAGUUGCCAUUGAUACUGAUUGUCUUGAGUAUGGGAGAGGUGUGCGGAACUCCGAGUGUAGAGGUGAAAUUCGUAGAUAUUCGGAAGAACACCAGUGGCGAAGGCGGCACACUGGCCCAUUACUGACGCUGAGGCUCGAAAGCGUGGGGAGCAAACAGG